GUGCCGUUUAGUCUAAUGGUAGGACACCUGCUUGCAUAGUGUUAGGAACACCUUCGCUAUGCUGGCAGGGAGUGAGGUUCGAAUCCUCAGCGGCACA
rnacentral:tRNA from 1 species